AUGCCCGAGGGAGAGGAGGGAGCGACCACCAGCCUCUUCCGUGCUGGAUGGACCACGUUAUCCAGGCAUCGCUUGCCGUCAGCUCGAGCAUCUCUGGAUAUUUGGGGACCCCUGUGCGGUGGGGAACGGGUUAAGGCUGCUGCGUUGCCCCGCGCUGGCCGCGGGGGCUCAGCCCCGGCUGCAGGGGUUUGCUCCUCUCCUCUCCGGCCCCGGCGCGAGCCCUCGCUGGGGACAGCGGCCCGUUGCAGCCGAAUGCAACGCGGAGCAGGGCUAGAGCUGGCAAACUCGCACCAAAGCGACCUCAACGGUCGCAACCAAACAGCAACAACAGCUUCGCACAGCUCAGCCCUGCCGCUGCUUUUGCUCACAGCACCAGCAAGAGUCCUGGUGGGCUCCGAGCCGGAGCCCCAGAGAUUUGGGAGGGAGCCCCAGCCAGCUCCUCGAGCACUCGGCCGCCGGGACAGAGCGUAUCACAGCCGCUCCACCGAAAAGCCCCGUGCUAUAGCUCCAUGGCAUGUGCCUCAUCCCCAGCAUAGAAAACCCCAGCACAGCAUCCGUGCAAGGAGAUUUAUAGCAGAGAGCGCUCUCCCGAAGCAAUGCACCAGCACCCAGACUCCCUGGCUGCGCUGCAAGCGCAGUGCUGCAAGCCGGGUGCUUUCCCUUAGCCCUGAAGCCCUAAAGACAGGACUUACCAACCAGGAAGGUCCAGAACUACCAUGCCCUCCAGUGCAAGGAGCAGGAACCACCACAACAAGCCCAGGGGCCGGCAGCUUUGGCACUGCUGCCUGGGCAUCGUUAGCUGAGCACCCGCAGCUGCGCCGGCCCCGUCCCGACGUGGGAGCAAUCACACCUGCAGCGAGCCCAGCUGCGUCCGACCUCGCCGAGCACCUGGGGAGGUUCAGCCAUGCCGGUGACCCCUCUUUCCCCAAGAAGUUGGGGAGCUUUAGGCCCCUCGCUGCUGCCACUUGCUGCUUUCCAGCGUGGCUCUGUAAAAUAAAACCUUUUCUCCCUCUGUCUCCCUCUUCGGGCUGGUUUUGGUCUCCGGGCCAAACGCAGCGAGCCCGGACACAGGCAGCAUGA
rnacentral:lncRNA from 1 species